UUAUACAGAGAUAGAGAGGUUCACAUACUUUGUAGGAUCAAAUUCAGAUGAAAGUCAAAAUCUGGUUCAUGUGCUGCAGCUGUUCCCUCCCAUGUUUCUUCUACUCUGGCCUUUUUUUCUUUGAAUCUUAUGCCAUUCAGGAAAUUUUCCAUUAAAUAAAAAGAAGAGAUCAGACAGAAAAGAGGGAUGAAAUUCCGAAGAAUAUCCAUCCCCUUGCCCGAUCUUUCCUGUCGCUAAUUUCAGCUUCCAAAGUCAAUUCCUGUAUGAAUCGACAUUUUGG
rnacentral:misc_RNA from 1 species